rnacentral:tRNA from 1 species
ACACCGUUUUGGUGAAGUGGUUAUCACGCUUGCCUUCCAAGCAAGCGGGGCGGGUUCAAUUCCCGAAUGGUGUA